rnacentral:rRNA from 1 species
UACGUGAGGAGCAAGCGUUGUUCGGAUUUACUGGGCGUAAAGGGCGCGUAGGCGGCAAAUUAAGUCAGGCUGUAGAAAUCUCCGAGCUUAACUCGGAACUGUCAGCUGAUACUGAUCUGCUAGAGUGCAGAAGGGGCAACUGGAAUUCUCGGUGUAGCGGUGAAAUGCGUAGAUAUCGAGAGGAACACCGUGCGGCGAAGGCGGGUUGCUGGG